CAGGUUCACGUAGGUCUCUGUGCAGGAGCCGGAUGGAGGUUUUAUUGAAUCUGGCUCCAGCGGAUCACCGUAUUAUAGCUGUGUUGCUGUAAUUAAGGCUGAGCAGAACUCCUACAAGUCUCCUUUUUUAUUUUUUAAUUUUUUAAAUCAGGUUAUAUAACAAAUAGUAAUAAGUUUCCUGAAACCUCUAUUAUCUUUCAGGAUCCGAAAGCACAGUGGAAGUAUUACAUUAUAAUCAAGUGAACAUUAGUCUGCUCUGCCUCGGUGUAAGCCAUGAAUUACACCCAGGACAGAUUUGGUUUUGCAGCCACAGUGAAGCUGUUGAUGCGAGAGAAGGGAAGAGCUUGGAGACUUUGCCCUGCUGCACAGAGGACUCUUGGGCAGGGGUGGUGAUCUCCGAGCAUGGGGGGGAAGGGCAAGAAGAAAAAAAUCUCCUUCAACGAGUACAGUUUAAGUUUCUGCCACCUCUGUUUCCCUUUUUGGUUUUGUGGUGAAUUAUGGAAAUGUGCUAGCUGUGAAAUGGUGGCAUCUCCUCUGUGGACUAGUAGAAAUAAACACAGCAUCUGUUGACCCAGACUUAAUGUAGGAGCCCUGACCUGAAGAGACAUCUUUGCUUUUCUAUGCAUGUGCAAGUCUAUAAUUAAGGAAUGUCCAUCACUGAAAUGUAGCUACUUCUAUAAUAGACAUUGGCAGUGGUCUGAUGAAGGGAUGUCAAAAAAUAAAUUAUCUCAGAAAAACAAGAUACAUUUUUAAUUAGCAGAGUGUGGUCACAUGGGACUCACAGAGUUGAUAGAAUAACUGUGAUUUAGCAUGUUACUGUACAUGAGCUGGGCUCCAAGAUUCAUACUAAAUAUGAUUCAGCUCAGCUUUGGCACUGAGCAGGAGCAUGCACUCAGCCUGUUACUGUAGCUCAGCUGGUGUAUUACAGUAUAGUAACUCCAUCUCAUCUCUAAAACUCCACUUUGGGCUUUUGCCUGGAAGAUAGUAUUAACUUUUUGUUAUUAUUACGUAGAGUCUUAUGGUAGGACUAGGGCUGAGCCUUAGUUUUACAGCAGACUUGAGCACAGGUAGGAGCACAGUGGCUGUGGACACCUCUGCGGGGCAUGAACUGAGCACGGACCCAGGAGGAAAACCCAAAAUGUAGAUUUGGGUUUCUCAGAGGACUGCAGUUCACGUAUUCACUGUACCCGAUUCACUUGGGCUUAUGAGAACUGACAAGGUCGUGGACCUGUGGCAUAGUUCUUCACUUGGAAAUAUCAGCUUUAGCUGUGCAAGACCGCUCAAGAAGGAUAGCCUGUAUUUUUAUGCUUGACCGACCACAGGAGCUGUUAAAAUUUUGAAAAUGCAUUUUGCAGUUUGCCUUCCCUGAUGUCUUCUGUCACCUCCAGCCCAGCCCCCAUUUUGUCUACUUUGGCCAAGUGAUAUAUUUCUUCAGUUUCAGUUAAGUCAAGGUCUUCAAAUUCCUAUCAUAGGUAUCACAUUACACCAACUGAAAGAUGCUUUUUCUUUUUUUUUUUAGUUUGUCAGCAAGGCACUUUAUGAGAUUGUGAGGUCAAACAGAUGACUUUAAUCUUUGUGAUGACAAGUAAAAAGGGACAAAAAGCACUCUUCCCCUCACCUAUUUUAUAGCAACCCUGGCACGUAGAAAUAGCGGUUAAGUGCUCUUCCUGUAUUUGUUCCAGAAAACACAACAAACAUGCAGUAUCACCAUGUACUUAAUGAAGAUAAUCAAUUUGUAGACGGUACAUUCUCUGAGACUAGGUGGUAUUUUUUUACACAGUACCUGGUACUGGUGAUGCCCUCUGCCUUCUGUGGUUGCUGGACUGACUGUGAUACACAUGUUCGAUAAUAACAACUUAAUUGCAAUUCUCACGCUACUUCCAGCUAAUGAUUUUUUUCAUUUCCACUUGUCAUUCACACAUCACUGUCAACAUGGUCUCAGAAAUUAAAUGAGAAGAAGAGGGAUGCUUCGAUUCUAGUGUUGUCUAAUUAAUGCUUCCUAAGGAUUAAAGUGGGGAAAAACCCGCCUUAAUUCAUGAGCAGGUGUAAGCAGGUAAAUAAAUAUGAUAUUCAAAGUUCUCAAUAAAUAGUUUCUUUGGCAGACCCAAUUUAACCCUGUCCAUUCUGAUGCCAGCUGGUGUAGACAUAAACUAUCAACUAAGACUCAGAUCUACCAUAAUUUCCUCCAUCGCUUGUCAAUCAUCGCUUGUCUCCUGAAUGCUUUAGCUUUCAAAGGCUUUCUCUUACCACUGACAGGAAUACAAACUCUCUCACCUCAGUCUUAAAUCGAACUUGUUUUGCAAAAGACCUCUAAGACAUUGUCAAAAGGGAAUAUAGUCAAUGGGACUCGAUGGACCAUUAGUCUGGUCUUACCUACUGAAAAUCACUGCGAUGAGUUUCUUUGGAGGUUGAUAAAUCAAUUAAUUUAAUCUGAAACAGCCACGAGACAGUAGAAUAUUAAAAAUAAAAUAAAUAAAAAGCAGUUGGAAAU
rnacentral:lncRNA from 1 species